rnacentral:rRNA from 1 species
CUAGCGACUUCAGAAGUUUGAUCCUGGCUCAGAGUGAACGCUGGCGGCGUGCCUAAUACAUGCAAGUCGAACGAUGAAAUUUCUAGCUUGCUAGAAGUGGAUUAGUGGCGCACGGGUGAGUAAUGCAUAGGAAUGUGCCCUUUAGUCUGGGAUAGCCACCGGAAACAGUGAUUAAUACUAGAUACGCCCUAAGGGGGAAAGAAUUUCGCUAAAGGAUCAGCCUAUGUCCUAUCAGCUAGUUGGUGAGGUAAAUGCUUACCAAGGCUAUGACGGGUAUCCGGCCUGAGAGGGUGAACGGACACACCGGAACUGAGACACGGUCCGG